rnacentral:rRNA from 1 species
CCUACGGGAGGCAGCAGUGAGGAAUAUUGGUCAAUGGGCGCGAGCCUGAACCAGCCAAGUAGCGUGAAGGAUGACUGCCCUACGGGUUGUAAACUUCUUUUAUAAAGGAAUAAAAUGAGGCACGUGUGCCUUUUUGUAUGUACUUUAUGAAUAAGGAUCGGCUAACUCCGUGCCAGCAGCCGCGGUAAUACGGAGGAUCCGAGCGUUAUCCGGAUUUAUUGGGUUUAAAGGGAGCGUAGAUGGGUUGUUAAGUCAGUUGUGAAAGUUUGCGGCUCAACCGUAAAAUUGCAAUUGAUACUGGCAGUCUUGAGUACAGGUGAGGUAGGCGGAAUUCGUGGUGUAGCGGUGAAAUGCUUAGAUAUCACGAAGAACCCCGAUUGCGAAGGCAGCCUACUAAACUGCGACUGACAUUGAUGCUCGAAAGUGUGGGUAUCAAACAGGAUUAGAUACCCGAGUAGUC